rnacentral:rRNA from 1 species
GGUGAAGUCCCUCGCGGAUGGAGCUGACGAGAGUCGCAGAUACCAGGUGGCUGCAACUGUUUAUUAAAAACACAGCACUGUGCAAAAUCGCAAGAUGACGUAUACGGUGUGACGCCUGCCCGGUGCCGGAAGGUUAAUUGAUGGGGUUAGCGCAAGCGAAGCUCUUGAUCGAAGCCCCGGUAAACGGCGGCCGUAACUAUAACGGUCCUAAGGUAGCGAAAUUCCUUGUCGGGUAAGUUCCGACCUGCACGAAUGGCGUAAUGAUGGCCACGCUGUCUCCACCCGAGACUCAGUGAAAUUGAAAUCGCUGUGAAGAUGCAGUGUACCCGCGGCUAGACGGAAAGACCCCGUGAACCUUUACUACAGCUUGGCACUGAACAUUGAACCUACAUGUGUAGGAUAGGUGGGAGGCUAUGAAGACGUGACGCCAGUUGCGUUGGAGCCGUCCUUGAAAUACCACCCUUGUAUGUUUGAUGUUCUAACUUAGACCCGUUAUCCGGGUUGAGGACAGUGCCUGGUGGGUAGUUUGACUGGGGCGGUCUCCUCCCAAAGAGUAACGGAGGAGCACGAAGGUGGGCUAAUCACGGUUGGACAUCGUGAGGUUAGUGCAAUGGCAUAAGCCCGCUUAACUGCGAGAAUGACGGUUCGAGCAGGUGCGAAAGCAGGUCAUAGUGAUCCGGUGGUUCUGUAUGGAAGGGCCAUCGCUCAACGGAUAAAAGGUACUCCGGGGAUAACAGGCUGAUACCGCCCAAGAGUUCAUAUCGACGGCGGUGUUUGGCACCUCGAUGUCGGCUCAUCACAUCCUGGGGCUGAAGUCGGUCCCAAGGGUAUGGCUGUUCGCCAUUUAAAGUGGUACGCGAGCUGGGUUUAGAACGUCGUGAGACAGUUCGGUCCCUAUCUGCCGUGGGCGUUGGAAGA